UUUAAGUGAUAUGUUUUAAUCUUUGUUGAUUUGAUUCCUUUGUAGGUGCCACAAGAUAAUAAUCUUAAAUCAUAUAUUUGUGAAUUUCAUGUCAUACUUUCCGACUGUUUGACAAACAAGUUAAGUAUAAUUGGGAGUCGUCGGCUAAACAUACAUGAGUUUGUUUCAGCAGCCAUGGGGAUUGAUUUUGUUUAGUGGCUAUUACUUUAACCACAAGGUAAGAAACAUUAGAUUACUUUUAAAAAUCUGUUCUUUCAUUUAUAUAGAAUUAUUAUCUUUUAUAAAUGGCCGAAAGAAGAUGAACAAUAAAGGUUUGUAAAUACCAAUGAGGACGCCAAGCCACCAGAUCACCAUUCUUUGGAUAAGGUUCAUAACGUUAUUGCUGUUGAGGCGAUCAUAUCAUCCUUCUGUUAGAUAUAUACAUGUAUAAGGCCGUUCUGUAAAUGUUACUAGCUUUUGGUUAGUCGCUAUUACUUUAACCACAAGGUAAAAAACAUUAGUUUGCUUUUAAAAAAUCAUUAUUCAUUUAUAUAGAAUUAUCUUUUUAUAGUUGAAAAAAAAGAAUUAUCUUUUAUGAAUGGCCGAAAAGAAGAUGAACAAUAAAGGUUUGUAAAUACCAACGGGGACGCCAAGCCACUAGAUCACCAUUCUUUAGAUAAGGUUCAUAACGUUGUUGCUGUUGAUGCGAUCAUAUCAACCUUCUGUUAUUGUUUAGAGUUGCUGCCAAUAGGGUAUAUAUAUAUAUAUUAUAAGGUUUUGAAAAUGCUACGAGUUUUUUUUUUGUUAAGGGAAUAAUAUUUUCUUAUAAAAAGUAGGAUCAUUAGAUUACAAAAGACAACUGUAUUUAUCCAAAAUGCUGGUAAGAAUAUCAACAUCUUUGUUAGUGUAUUUUGUCCGCAGACACGUGACGUGGAAGCUGGAACGCCACAAUCGUAGACAGUUGUGAUUUGUGAAAAGCCAUCAAGUCACAUGGUAAGUCUUGUGCCAGAGUCAACAACGAGUGACACAACAGUAUCACACCCUCGAUCGCCUACAGAGACAACAGAGUCAACUCAGAUGCUGAGUCCAAUGGAUAGAAAGGCUACUAGGGUCAUGAGAUACAGAGAGAAGAAGAAGACAAGGAAGUUUGAGAAGAGGAUAAGGUAUGCUUCAAGGAAAAAGUAUGCAGAGAAAAGACCAAGGAUCAAAGGCCGGUUUGCAAAGAGGAAUGAAGUUGAUGCAGACCAAGCUUUCUCCACAAUGGCAAUGUUUGACACAUGAUAUGGAGUUGUUCCUUCGUUCUGAUAGACUCCUAUGGCAAGAACUAGAUUCCAUGCUUGUAAAAAAUGCAUUACUGGUUUGAAUUUCUUAGAAGUUAUCUUAUAACCACUGUAAUGCAUAUAGGUCUCUGUUUUUGUCUACCAGAGAAAAUAAGGUUUUACACAAUAUGAUUUUACAAACAAAGUAGUUUAGAGCAUGAUUAUUGGAGGGUUCUUAAGGUGGGGUUCUCAGCGGAAUAUAAGAACCCGUCUCUUAAUUUUUAACUAAAAAAGCUAAGAACCGACUCUUAAAACUCUUAUUUAAGAACCGGUUCUUAGCUUUUUUAAUUAAAAGUUAAGAGACGAGUUCUUAUAUUCCGUUAAGAAUCUCACCUUAAGAACCCCGCAAUAAUUAUGCUCUUACAUAAUUAACUGUAGACAUAUAAAACUUGAAAAAUUCAGUUAAUAGAUGAAACUUUUUAAACUGAUAAUUAUUCAUUGGUUAAUGGCAAGGAAGCUUGAAACUUGAAAAAUCCAGUUGUAGCAAUUGUUAUUUAUGAGACUUUAGCAUCAGAACUCGAUAUCAUUCCCGUACUUUCCCAUCAUAUGUUUUCUUUCAGAGAUGCAUGACAGAGAUGUCGGACACGUUCAGGUCUAUCCAAAUAUUUUUUUCCUUUGUUCUUAUUUCCCCAGUAUGGUACUAAAAGGUCAUGGUUCUAAACAAAUCGCAGGGAAUGGGUUUCGUAGCCGGUCUGUUGCUUUUUUAUAUGAGCGAAGUUGCAUUACUUAAAGCAGCUGUUCACUCCACUCCCCAAUGGAAAGAUUUUACCAGACUACCAGUUGGUAAGAGAGCUAAUGCCGAAACUAGGAGAAUAUUUCACUCAAACUAUGAUUAAUCCGAGUAUGUAUGCAAGGUAUUAACAUUGUGUUCAAAGUCGCUUUAGAAUUGUUGAAGCGUUGCCAUGAUGAUUUGGUAAAAUUUCCAUUUGAGGAACUCAUGCAUGCUUUGGAAGAAAUGAAACAGGAUCGUGAGAAGGCCGUAGCUAAACCGGUUUAAACGGCCAAACCGGUUCAACUUUAGUGUUUGAUAAACUUGGAGCUUGGAGCCCCAGGGUCUGUUAAUUAUGGAUUUAUUUAUCUCUCAUUCUUUUUAUUGCCCCUCAUGUGUGAAGAAAGCAUAGUAAUUUCCUUUCUUCUGUAAAAAUAAGUUUGGAUUCCAAGAAAAUCAACUUUAUAGUUUCUUCUUUCUUUUUUGGCAUAAUUGUUUUUUUUAACAUGCUUCUGUAAUGUCUAAGUCACAAUGUAUUGUAUAUUCUCAAAGUCCAAAUGUAAUGACAAAACAGAAACUAAGAGAAAUUCUACAUGAUUUAAGUUAGGGGUGUCAAUUCGGGCCGGUCCGGUCCGGCCCGGUCCAAACCCGUUAAGCUCGUAAAUAUUUAAGUUCGGUCCAGAAAUAUUUUGGGCAUAGAAUUCAAAGUCCGGUCCUUAUAGGGCUCUAGGGUUUCUCGAGUUUUUUUGGGGUUUUCUAAAAAUAAUUUGUCAUUAUCACUUCUAUUGUUUUAAUACAUGUGAAUUUUCAUUAAAAUAAUUUCAAUUUUUUUUAUUUUAAAAUAUAAAGUGAGUUUAAAACUUUAUUCUUUGUCAAAAAUGUUUUACUUUUCGUAUGCUUUAAAAAUAUAUUAUAAACAAGCCAAAUUUAAUAAGAUUUAAAUAAUAAAAUAUAAAUUAAAACUAAAUAUAUAAGAGAAUAAAAUUUAUGAUAAACAUGGUCGAACGUUUCAUACUUUGUAUUUUGAAAAAAAAUGUUGUACAUAAAAGAAGAAUGUACAUUUGCAAAAUUUAAAAUGUGACACUAAUAAUGGUUUUGAUUGCAAUAACGAUAAUAUUUAAGCUAAUGUAUACAAUUUCGGGUUUUCGGGCCGGAUCCUAGCCUAAACGGGCUUAGGCCCAAAAUACCCAAAGCCCAAACGAGCUUAGCCCGAAAUGCCUAAUUUUUUGGGCUUAUAAAACUAAGCCCAAGCCUGGUAAUUUUUAAAGCUGGACAGGUUCGGGCUGCGGUCUUCGACCCUAAUUGAGAUGUCUAAUUUCAGUUUGGCUUCUCAUCACAGAAUUCACACCAUCUCUUUGUCUGCAUACUUCCUAUAUUACUCAUUUGAUGUCCUAAUGUGUCACUUACCUCACUGAUUCAAAGAUUAUGUUUUCACUUGUGAGUUUUGCUUGUUGAAUGCGGAGCUUUAGAUGCAGCUUUAGCUCAGCCUGUUUAGAAAUUUUUUCUCUAAAAGCUUUAUAUAUGAAUUGAAACUGUUUUCAUCGCUGUCUUGAUAUCCCAAAUCUUUUUUCUUACAACUUGUACAAGAAACACCAGGUGCUUAUUAUUUUGGAGGAAAGGGAAGAACCCUUGAAUCAUCACAAAUUUCUAGAGAUCUUAAACAUGUUAAAAAAUUUGGAAAACUUCUAGUGAUUUGUUCAGUGAGUUGCAGCUUCUUCAUCAGUCAUCACACCUGGGAAAUCAAAUACUCGCUUGAAGAUCAUUAAAAAAAAGGAGUGAACCUUUUCCCAGAGAAAGAAUAUGAGAAGCUUCGGCGUGUGGGCCGUGUUUAUCUGAGUUGACAGUGGACUCGAACUCGGAUCUCUUAGAGAUCCACAGAAGACCUUGAAGAUCAUUAAUAUCUUAUCAAUGACCUAAAUUAUCUCUGUUUUUUAUUGUUAUUUGUACUACUAGUUUUACAAGUACGAAACAACACUAUAUAUGUAGGUACAGUUGAAAACCAUUGGCAUCAAUGGUCUCUCAGUAAUGAUCCCCUAAGUUUAAGAUAAUA